rnacentral:rRNA from 1 species
UACAGAGGUCUCAAGCGUUGUUCGGAUUCAUUGGGCGUAAAGGGUGCGUAGGCGGCGCGGUAAGUCGGGUGUGAAAUCUCGGAGCUUAACUCCGAAACUGCAUUCGAUACUGCCGUGCUUGAGGACUGGAGAGGAGACUGGAAUUUACGGUGUAGCGGUGAAAUGCGUAGAUAUCGUAAGGAAGACCAGUGGCGAAGGCGGUUCUCUGGGCCUGUUCUGACGCUGAGGAGCGAAAGCGUGGGGAGCGAACAGG